GAGCAAUCAUUUAAAUGCUGUCGCUUCCACCACACUGCGACAGUGCAGUUCCGACCUUAAUGCAGACAACACGUAAAUGCUUGAACAAAUAUAUUACAAAUUAUGUUACGUGACGAACAAUGAGUAAUGGAAUAGUAUUGAUAGUAAUAAAUAACAAAUUCACUCGUAAAGGGAGAUGAUAGUUGUGCUUCGUGGUGUGGCUUACAAAAAUAUUGUCUUGUUGCGGGAAGGAUGUAAUGCAACUUUAUUUGCGGGUGUUAAAGGACCUCCUACAUUUUUGGGAUAAUUACGAAGGCGCAGCAUUUUAUUUGGCGGUGAUAAAGAUGUGUUUCCAUUGAUUUUUACGUUAAAUCUAAUAGCAGCGACAUGUCAAUCUGUACGUUAUACGAAAUAAAAUAAAAUUCUG